rnacentral:misc_RNA from 1 species
UGGGUUUGACAUGUUCGUGCCCCGAAGGGAAGGUGUGUUUCCACACCGGUCACGAACAUGUCAAACCCAGGUAAGGUUCUUCGCGUUGCGUCGAAUUAAACCACAUGCUCCGCUGCUUGUGCGGGCCCCCGUCAAUUCCUUUGAGUUUUAGCCUUGCGGCCGUACUCCCCAGGCGGAGUGCUUAAUGCGUUAGCUGCGGCACAGAGAGGGUUGAAGACCUCCCCACACCUAGCACUCAACGUUUACGGCUGGGACUAC